GUGAUAAUUACUCAACCCUAAUUUCACUUUGGCUGGCAUUUACCUUGUCUCAACAGCUUUCCUCAAAGAGCAAAGGCUGAGAUGAAUGAUAUGCAAAAGAAAACCAUCAUCCCUACAUUCCCCAAACUGGAACUGGUAGAGCAUCACGGGUGACAGGUAACUAGUGACUGAUGAUUCACUCCUGGUGGAUGCCUUGGGCCAGUUCCAGAAGGCACUGCGUUUCCAGGAGGGGCGGGAAGAAGAUUUGCAUGUGUGACCUCAUGCAGAAGCUCCUGCUUCAGAGCAUUUAAGGAGAAGGAGAGUCCCUGAAGGAGAGUCGGCCGUGGCCAGUCUUACCAGUGUUAGACUCCUCGCUCUCCAAGCAGCUCAAGACCAUGGCAGGCCUCCGUUCCAUGUUUCUACCACUUGGGCUAUUCCUGUGCCUCGGACUACACUUUUCUUCUGCCAACUUUACAAGUUACAGCACUAACUGCACGGUCUUUGAUAAGGUCUUCACCACCCAAAACCCAGGAAUUCAGAUCAAGACAGAAGUUUUUCAGGGCAACACGAUCUACACAAUUUGGGUUCCUACGAAUGGCAAUGUCAGUAUGGUGGUCCUAGAAGUCGUAGACAAGCACGACAAUGUCGUGGGCCUCUGUCAAGGAGAUGAGGACUGUAACGGCAGCGCCCUGUAUCACCUGACUUCCUCUAACGACACGUUCCUCAAGACAAAUUGUGUUCUGAACUCCAAGGACACUGCGCACAGGCUGAAAGUCUUCCUUGUCUACUUCAACAACUCGGCUGUGUUUUUUUCUCAGAAUCUGGGAAGGCAAGUGAUAACUACAACCUCAGCCACCAGGACGUCCACCAACGCUCUGAACACAACUAUGACCAUCAACACAACCAUGAGCACAGCCCAAACCAAGACCAUGGCCCAAACCGAGACCACGGCCCAAACCGAGACCACGGCCCAAACUGAGAACACGGCCCAAACCAAGAACUCGACCCAAAACUUGGCUGUGAGAGCGUUCAGCAGCCCCAUCGCGAGUGCCAUUCACAUCCUGCUCGUUUUUCUUACCAGCAAGCUCCUCUUCUAAAGGAAAGCAGGAGAGCAGUUGCUCAGCUUCCGGUGCAGCCUCCCAUACUGAGGCUCUAGGCCUGGGCUUCAGUGUAGGUGGACCAAGGCCUCACAUUCUCAAGCUGCGCAACUUCACUGUCACUACUGCAGGCCAAGGACUGGGGCACUUGCUGGUGGGCACGGGUCACACCAAUGUUUAACUGGAUCUUUCAGGACACAAAUUAUGCUUUCUGUAAAUACACAGACCUAGCCUGAUGGUAGCCUGGAAUUCUGCCUCUGAGUUUAACAUGGUGACAGUCAACCCGAACUUUUUUUAAUAGCCAAAGGGUUCCUCCGUGCCUCCUCAUUUUCUGGAGGAAGACUCUUUCCCUACGUUCAAGAUGAUCUGAUCUCAGCUUUCUGACCAAAAGCCACCCAGGUGACACAGAAUUCCUGGGACUGUGACUCAGGGGGAGGGAGAAAUGGCUCUGAAGCUACGGCGGCCUCCCAUCUUAUCCCUAAGAGUAGAUGCCAAAGGGCAAGAGGAUAGGAUGGUGCCAUGUCUGAGCGGGCAAUGACAGGAAAAAUUAUGUGCUUUGUCCUAAGUCACACCAAAUAAAUGAUACUUGAGACUUGAAGAAUGACUGCGUUAAAUUCAAAGUUGUCUUUAAUGAGUGACUAACUUACAAUUUAGAGAAUGUUAUCAAAUCACAUAUUUUUAAUUUUGGUUUUGUUUUUUCUUUUUUUGUUUAUUUGUUUGUUUGUUUGUUUCUGGUACCGGGAAUUGAACUCACGCCCUCGCACUUGCCAGGCAGGCUCUGUGUCGCUGAGCUAAAUCCCCAGCCCCUUGGUUUUGUUUUUUCGAGACAGGGUUUUGCUAUGUAGUUCAGGCUGGGCUUGAACUCACUACACAGCUCAGGCUGACCUCAGGCUUGUAAUGAUCCUCCUGCCUCAAACUCCCAGGCGCUGGGAUUAUAGGCAUGCACCACCACACCUGGCUCAAAUCAUAUUUCAUGUAUUAAAUGAAAUGUUUAAAAAAUUAACGAAAUUAUGCAUGUGUGUAUGUUUUCAAGGCCAGAUCGAAGGGUAAAUUUAUCUUGAUUUUCAUUUUCCUCAAGUGCAAGCUGGCCACUUUCUUCCCCAUGGUAAUUUUCACUAAGAAAUGGACAAAAUACUUAUAUUUAUAAUACAGUGUAAAACUAAAAAAAAAAAAAAAGCAUGGUGUUUCCAGUAUUAAACUUGAAAUAAGUGAUAAAGUUUUCUUUUAACAAUUAGGCUAACCUCCAGGGUGCUGAUAUAUUUUUUUCUGGUCCCUAAAAUUGUGUGCCUUUUUAAAGUUCCGGCACCAGUCCUCCUCUCCCCUUAGAACACCAGCAUGGUAUUCCCCAGGACUCCCUGAGGUCCGUAACUGCAGAAAGCCUCCCCUCAGCUGGUAGCCAAUUUAUCCACAUGUGCUUGGCUGACCUGAGUCACUGUCACAGAGACAGACCACCUGUGAUUCUCUGCUAAUAUCCAGCCUGAACUGUGUAGAGAGACCCAACCUAAAAAAGAAAAAAGAAUAUGACAGUAUUUGGAGUCAGCACCUUCAAAGAGAUGACGCAGAUGAUGCAGUUGAGAUGAAGGUGUUAGGAUGU
rnacentral:lncRNA from 1 species